CUUGUUUUAGCCUUAAUUUUUCAUUUUUUUCUUCGUUCAUUUGUUGGUAAUGUUGUGUUUAGUUACAGUUCGAGAAAGAAAAAAAUUAAAGAGAAAUCAACCACCAGCCACCACCAUCUCAAUAGCUGCCACCCCCAAAACCACCACAUCUGCAGCAUCACCAACAUCUCGAUCGCCACCGUCGACAGCAGUUCAUUUCCUUCUAAAUCUCGACCAGCAAUAACUACUUUGAUGCAUGUUACCGAUCGAGAAAUUAUCGUCAAGGAGAAUCAACAUCGAACCUCAACUAUUAAAUCUACAAAUCCCACAAAGCAGAUAAGUAUCCAUUCAAUUGAACUGAUGAUCUCUGAAAAUAAGUUUUUUUGGAGAGUUAGUUUAUAGUUUUCAAAACCUAAUACUAUGAUUCCUCUUCGGAAUCCUCUUUUUGGAUUAAAAUCAAUGUUUUGAUCUAUUAUCUUCUAAUGAUUCUUAUCAUUAUAUGUUGGAGAUUACGGUAAAAUUUCGAAAAAAACUUUUAUCAAAGAAUUUAGGGUUCGUUAAUUCGUUACUAUGUUUCAAUUGAUCUUAAGAUUGAUUGGUUUGAGUAUACAAUAGUGUUCAUAUUUGUAAUCAGCGGAUCUAUAUUACCCAUAAAAUCUUUUUAAACUUCAUAUACUUUGGAUUUCAACCUAAUUUGAAUCUAAAUCUGAUCCGGCGUUUUCAGGGAAUUAAGGUUGUCCUAUAGAUUGCAAUGAUAUCAGCAAUGACUGCUUCCAGCAUUAGGAAUUAUUGAUUUGGUUUCAAAGUAAAUCAAAGAUGAAAUCAAAAUUGAAGUAUCCAAGAUGAAGGAUGCCAUUGGUGUUGUACUGGGGUUAGCCGCGAGUUGGAGAUAGGAAGGAUUCUGCAACCUUGAGAUGCAAUAGGGAUUGAGCUGAAAUUAGGGAUUGAUGGCACAUCGUAUGAAUACUUAUUUCUAUCUUCUGGAGUUAUUGUUGUAUCUGCUGGUGUUGAAGAGACAUCGAACUGAUCAAACGAGCAGAAGGAGAACGAUCUGAACGAUGAGGCUGAGAUAUUAAACUCAUUGUGAUCCUAACUAAGGCAAGGCUGAAUUGCAAGCUUCAUGGGAUUUUCUAAAACUUGAAAUAUUUGCAGCGAUCACCACUGCUCCGCCGGGUAGGUAAAGUAAUUGCAACCCUGGAAAACCUCAUCAAGUUGCUUCCCACUUUGGAAACAACUUGAGCUAGUUGCUUCCUUUUUCUGGAGACAACUUGAGAAAGUUGCUUUCACUUUUGGAGGCAACUUGAGCUAGUUGAUUCCAUAUUGGAGGCAACUUGAGCUAGUUGAUUCCAGUUCCGAGGCAACUUGGUUAUGUUUUUGGGUCCAUUCAUUCAUCGGAAAUUAUCUUAUACCUACAUCAUAGAGUAGUUGUGACGAAUUUGUGGUGCAAUGGUAACAUAGGGUUGUGUUGAGUUGGUGAUGAUGGUUGUUCUGCUAAUGUUCAUGCUUUAAAGUCAAGAGGGUAGAUGAAUGCUUAGGAAGUUUGAGAAGGAACUCAAUAUGUAUCCAGGAAAAAUUGAAAGCAGAAAAGAAGUUGUUACUGCUUGUGUGUUGUUGAUGGUGUUUGAGUAGGGGCAUGGAAGUGACUGCAGCUAUUGGAUCAUGUUGUAAGUGUGCAUAGACGGUUGUGGUCAUGAAGCUGUUGCAGGUAGAGUGGCGGUAGCAGAGAUGGAGGAUGUGGUGUUGUAUGGUGAUGGUUUGAAUUGUUGGUUAAGCACUAAUGGUGUGGCGAACAUGUGAUGCAAUGGUAGCAUAACUGACUAUAUGUCAGAAGAUGUGUGUUCGACUCACACUAGGUUCACUUAUUUGUGUAUAAUUUUUAUUUUUUUUGGAGACAACUUGUGCUAGUUGCUUCCAUAUGUGGAGACAACUUGAGCUAGUUGCCUCCAUUAUUGAAGACAACUUCAGCAAGUUGCCUCCAGAUUUGGAGACAACUUUCAGCAAGUUUCCUCUUGAUGAUGGUGGUGGAUUGGUGGUUGCUGGUGGUGAUUGGUGGAGGUGGAUGAAAAUGGUGGUGGUUGGUGGCGGUGGUGGUUGUCGGUGGUGUAUAGUGGCGCUGGUUGUCGGUGGUGGUAGUUGGCGGUGGUGGAGGAAAAUGGCGGUGCUGGU